rnacentral:rRNA from 1 species
AUUGAACGCUAGCGGGAUGCCUUACACAUGCAAGUCGAACGGAGUGGCGAACGGGUGAGUAAUGUAUCGGAACGUGACAAGUAGCGGGGGAUAACUACGCGAAAGCGUAGCUAAUACCGCAUACUAUUGGCACGGACGCUAUCGGAUUCGCUAGUUGGUGGGGUAACGGCUCACCAAGGCGACGAUCCGUAGCUGGUUUGAGAGGACGACAAGACAGACUGGGACUGAGACACGGCCCAGACUCCGACGGGAGGCAGCAGUGGGGAAGUUUGGACAAGGGGGGAAACCCUGAUCCAGCCAUCCAGCGUGUGCGAGGAAGGCCUGCGGGUUGUAAAGCACUUUUGGCAGGAAAGCGGUACCUGCAGAAUAAGCACCGGCUAACUACGUGCCAGCAGCCGCGGUAAUAC